GAAUUUCCGUAACGGGGAAGGAUGAGAAGCUUCGACUAAGGUUCGAUUCGAGCGCAGCGAGAAAGCAUUGCCGCAGGCGACGACCCGAAGGGCGAGGCGCGAGGCGCGAGGCGCCGAGUAAUCCUUCCCCCACCACCA
rnacentral:sRNA from 1 species